rnacentral:rRNA from 1 species
GACGAACGCUGGCGGCGUGCUUAACACAUGCAAGUCGAACGGAAAGGCCCUGCUUUUGUGGGGUGCUCGAGUGGCGAACGGGUGAGUAACACGUGAGUAACCUGCCCUUGACUUUGGGAUAACUUCAGGAAACUGGGGCUAAUAUCGGAUAGGAGCUCCUGCUGCAUGGUGGGGGUUGGAAAGUUUCGGCGGUUGGGGAUGGACUCGCGGCUUAUCAGCUUGUUGGUGGGGUAGUGGCUUAUCAAGGGUUUGAAGGGUAGCCGGCCUGAGAGGGUGACCGGCCACAUUGGGACUAAGAUACGGCGCAGACUCCUACGGGAGGCAGCAGGGGGGAAUAUUGCACAAUGGGCGGAAGCCUGAUGCAGCAACGCCGCGUGCGGGAUGACGGCCUUCGGGUUGUAAACCGCUUUCGCCUGUGACGAAGCGUGAGUGACGGUAAUGGGUAAAGAAGCACCGGCUAACUACGUG